rnacentral:rRNA from 1 species
AAGACGCCGCUCGCGAUCGGCGAGAUGAGCAUCGGCCGGUCGGCGGGCGGUGCGGCGGUUGCUGCGGGCAGCUCGACGGCGGUGACUUUCGGCGGCCGUCGCGAAACGGAAGUGCCGCCGGGGCAGGAGCGGGACAGCGAUCCCGUCGCGUACGACGUGAGGGCCGGCGAGCCGUACGCGCUCAGCCUGUACCUGGGAAGCCGCCAGACGAUGACGGUCUGGCACCGCGUAUCGAAUCAGGUCAAUUACGUGUCGGCGCCGGGUAACCACACGGGCGACGCCUCACCCGACGCGUUUCGCACGCGCUUCACGCAAUCCGCCUGGAUCGCCGAGUUGGCGGUGGAGGUGCAGCAGCCGGGCGCGGCGGCGAUCGCGGCCGUCGGCGAUUCGAUCACCGAUGGCCUGCGCUCGAGCCUGAACCGCAAUCGCCGCUGGCCGGAUGCGCUGGCGGCCCGGCUCGAGCGCGCGGGCGCAGGCGACAUCGGCGUGGCGAAUCUCGGCAUCAGCGGCAAUCGGCUGCUGAGCGACUCGCGCUGCUACGGCAUCGCGCUUGAGCGCCGCUUCGAGCGUGACGUGCUGACGCGCGCGGGCGUGAAGGUCGCGGUGCUGCUGAUUGGCAUCAACGACAUCAAUUUCGCUGCGAUGCCAGCCCGGUCCGGGCUCGACUGUGAUGCGCCGCAUACGCGGGUCGACGCGCAAGCGUUGAUCGCGGGCUACCGCCGCGUGAUCGCGGCUGCGCACGCGCGAGGCGUUGCGGUAUUCGGCGCGACGCUGACGCCGGCGUCGCUGCCGCCGGCGCGCGAAGCGAUCCGUCGCGAAGUCAACGAAUGGAUUCGAACCUCGGGCGCCUUCGACGGCGUCGUGGAUUUCGACGCCGCGCUGCGCGAUCCGGCUAAGCCGUCGACAUUGCUGCGUCGCUAUAACAGUGGCGACGACAUCCACCCGAGCGACGCCGGCUAUGCGGCGAUGGCCGAGGCGGUGCCGCUGGAGCGACUGGCGGCGGCGGCCGGGCGCCGCUGAGCGUGCGGCACGGACGCGGCAUGCCACGUCCAUUCAAAAAUUUUAACGGGACCCUAAAAAACGCUUGCACGAAGCGUAGAUGCUGCCUACAAUCACGCCUCUUUCGCGCUACGGCGAACGCGGCGCGAAGGGGGAAGCGGGAGGUUUCGCGGCUCAUGCGGUACGGUCGGCGGUAGAGGCGGCCGAGGGCGCGAGGCGGUGAUCCUACGCAACGUUCAUCGGCGUAGGGUGAGUCGGCCCCUAAGGCGAGGCAGAAAUGCGUAGCUGAUGGGAAGCAGGUCAAUAUUCCUGCACCGUCGUUAGAUGCGAUGGGGGGACGGAUCGCGGAAGGUUGUCCGGGUGUUGGAAGUCCCGGUCGCUGCAUUGGAGAAGGCGCUUAGGCAAAUCCGGGCGCAGGAUUCAAGGGUGUGGCGCGAGCUCCUUCGGGAGCGAAGCAAUUGGAAGUGGUUCCAAGAAAAGCCUCUAAGCUUCAGUCUAACGAUGACCGUACCGCAAACCGACACAGGUGGGCGAGAUGAGUAUUCUAAGGCGCUUGAGAGAACUCGGGAGAAGGAACUCGGCAAAUUGGUACCGUAACUUCGGGAUAAGGUACGCCCUGGUAGCUUGACUGGCCUGCGCCAGAAGGGUGAAGGGGUUGCAAUAAACUGGUGGCUGCGACUGUUUAAUAAAAACACAGCACUCUGCAAACACGAAAGUGGACGUAUAGGGUGUGACGCCUGCCCGGUGCCGGAAGAUUAAAUGAUGGGGUGCAAGCUCUUGAUUGAAGUCCCGGUAAACGGCGGCCGUAACUAUAACGGUCCUAAGGUAGCGAAAUUCCUUGUCGGGUAAGUUCCGACCUGCACGAAUGGCGUAACGAUGGCCACACUGUCUCCUCCCGAGACUCAGCGAAGUUGAAGUGUUUGUGAUGAUGCAAUCUACCCGCGGCUAGACGGAAAGACCCCAUGAACCUUUACUGUAGCUUUGCAUUGGACUUUGAACCGAUCUGUGUAGGAUAGGUGGGAGGCUAUGAAACCGGAAUGCUAGUUUCGGUGGAGCCGUCCUUGAAAUACCACCCUGGUUUGUUUGAGGUUCUAACCUUGGCCCGUGAUCCGGGUCGGGGACAGUGCAUGGUAGGCAGUUUGACUGGGGCGGUCUCCUCCCAAAGCGUAACGGAGGAGUACGAAGGUACGCUAGGUACGGUCGGAAAUCGUGCUGAUAGUGCAAUGGCAUAAGCGUGCUUAACUGCGAGACCGACAAGUCGAGCAGGUGCGAAAGCAGGUCAUAGUGAUCCGGUGGUUCUGUAUGGAAGGGCCAUCGCUCAACGGAUAAAAGGUACUCUGGGGAUAACAGGCUGAUACCGCCCAAGAGUUCAUAUCGACGGCGGUGUUUGGCACCUCGAUGUCGGCUCAUCUCAUCCUGGGGCUGUAGCCGGUCCCAAGGGUAUGGCUGUUCGCCAUUUAAAGAGGUACGUGAGCUGGGUUUAAAACGUCGUGAGACAGUUUGGUCCCUAUCUGCCGUGGGCGUUGGAAGUUUGAAGGGGGCUGCUCCUAGUACGAGAGGACCGGAGUGGACGAACCUCUGGUGUACCGGUUGUGACGCCAGUCGCAUCGCCGGGUAGCUAUGUUCGGAAGAGAUAACCGCUGAAAGCAUCUAAGCGGGAAACUCGCCUUAAGAUGAGACUUCCCCGGGGACUUGAUCCCCUUGAAGGGUCGUUCGAGACCAGGACGUUGAUAGGUCGGGUGUGUAAGCGCAGUAAUGCGUUCAGCUAACCGAUACUAAUUGCCCGUACGGCUUGAUC